GUUUUUACACAAUCUGAUAUUUGGAGCCAUUUGCAAAUAUACUCAUAAAUUACAUGAUUUGUAAUCCUCAUCGAAAAAAAACAUAAAAGAAUGAGGUGGUUAAUGAUCAAUAUUGGGAUCAACAGUGAUCACCCUACUAAUGUAGGCAUUACGUAUGCAGGCAGAAAAAGGAAAGUUCACAUUAAGGUCUCAUGUGAAACACCACAGGUCUGAAAUACUCAGGAACACAUGAAAAUGGCACAAAUGAAUUUCACUCUCCAACCUUUUGCUAAAGAGACGUUGACAGGCCCACAGAGAGCCUGGAGCUCACGGGACAACAUUCACACACAUUCUGCUUCAUGAAGAGGUGGGUAAAGAUAAAGCAGGUUUAUUGAUGUGGCAAACAAUGGUUCAAAUAUCCUCCAAAGCACUUCAAGUCCUCAAAGAACGAAACUCAAAACGCAGACGAGGUAAAAGAAGAAACUUCUAGAUUAAAGUGGAGCGACCCAGGGACAAGUCUGGUUUGGGUUAAAGAUUAUGGAUGGUUAACUUUGUGUAACGUGUUUGGAGCGAGUUUAGGCAAGCGACUUCAGGUAUUAGGCAAGCGAGUUUAGCCAAGCGACUACAGGCAAGCGAGUCAAGCUAUAAGCGAGUUUAGGUUUUAUGCAAGCGAGUUUAGGUUUUAUGCAAGCCAGUUUAGCCAAGCGAGUACAGGCAAGCGAGUCAAGCUAAGCGAGUUUAGGUUUUAUGCAAGCGAGUUUAGGUUUUAUGCAAGCCAGUUUAGGCAAGCGAGUCAAGCUAAGCGAGUUUAGGUUUUAUGCAAGCGAGUUCAGGUAUUAGGCAAGUGAGUUUAGGCAAGCAAGUUUAUGCAAGCGAGUUCAGGUAUUAGGCAAGCGAGUUCAGGCAUUAGGCAAGCGAGUUCAGGUAUUAGGCAAGCGAGUUCAGGUAUUAGGCAAGCGAGUUUAGGCAAGUAAGUUCAGGUAUUAGGCAAGCGACGCGAGUUUAGCCAAGCAAGUUCAGGUUUUAUGCAAGCGAGUUUAGACAAGCGAGUUUAGGCAAGCAAGUUUAGGUAAGAGAGGCAAGUUACUUUAGGCCUCACUUUAUUUGCGGUUAAAUUGCGGCAUUAGGUUUAGAAAGAAGGUUAAGAUCCAGGCUCAGGUUUGCUUCCAGCCUCGUCCCUCUAGUCGCUCCCUAUAAAGAGGGUUGCCAGCUACCGUGUUAAAAUACAACAGCUGGGAGUACAGAUGUGGAGUACAGAACUAAAUGACAAAGAUUGAUUCAAACAUUCUUCCCCCAAAAUGUGGUGCAACAUAAUGGAGAAAAUAAUGACCUUCUCUCCAUUGAAACCAAGUCAAAUCUUACGAUCUCACGAGGUCCCGCCGCAAGGGGCGGACUUACGAGCUCUAUAGAGUGUGCACUGUGUGUUAAUGUUGGGUGUGGAUUAAAGUGCUGGUGUAGCCAGGGAUCCUCAGGGUUUAUGGGGAGUAGGACACACUGGUGUAGUUCAGUGCUGUGAAGUAAAUUGAUGCAAAAAGUAGAAUCAGUUUGAAGGGCAAUCAAAUGUCUAUAAAUGCAGCAAUACGAGCCUCC
ensembl:lncRNA